AGCCUUAAGAUAUUAUUUUAGGUGAAGCCUGCCCAGUGCUAGUUGUAAACGGCCGCAGUACCUUGACUGUGCUAAGGUAGCAUAAUCAGUUGGCUUUUAAAUGGAGUCGGGAAUGAAUGGAUUUAUAGGGUUAAGCUGUCUCCAUUAUACUAACUUGAAUUUACUUAGUAGGUGAAAAUGCCUACAAGAAGAAAAAAGACGAGAAGACCCUAGGAGUUUUAAUUAAAGUUGACAUAGGUUAACUAAUGUUUUUGUUGGGGCGACAUGGGAGAAACACAGAACCUCCCUUAUUAAUUUGCCGACUUAGUAUGGGCAGAUAAACUACCCUAGGGAUAACAGCGUAAUUCUUUUAGAGCUUGCGACCUCGAUGUUGGACUAGGAAUUUGGUAGGCUAGCCGCCUAUUUAUAUUGUUCUGUUCGAACUAUUUUUCCU
rnacentral:rRNA from 1 species